AGAGUUUGAUCAUGGCUCAGAGUGAUCGCUGGCGGCGUGCUUAACACAUGCAAGUCGAGCGAGAUUUGACAGCGUAUCGUCAGGUCUAGCGGCAGACGGGUGAGUAAUACUUGGGCAAUCUACCCUAUAGUGGGGGACAACCGGCCGAAAGGCUGGCUAAUACCCCAUAAGACCACGGAAGUGCAUACUUCAGAGGUCAAAGCUCCGCAAGGGGCGCUAAAGGAGGAGCCCGAGUCCUAUCAUGGUAGUUGGCGGGGUAAUGGCCCACCAAGCCGUUGACGGGUAGCCGGCCUGAAAGGGCAACCGGCCACACUGGCACUGAGACACGGGCCAGACUCCUACGGGAGGCAGCAGUGGGGAAUUUUGGACAAUGGGGGCAACCCUGAUCCAGCGACGCCGCGUGAAGGAUGAAGGUCUUCGGAUUGUAAACUUCUUUUGGAGGGGAUGAAUGCCUACGUGAAUAACGUAGGGUGACAGUACCCUUCGAAUAAGCCACGGCUAACUACGUGCCAGCAGCCGCGGUAAUACGUAGGUGGCAAGCGAUACUCGGAAUCACUAGGCGUAAAGCGCAGGUAGGCGGUUUGAUAAGUCUGUUGUGAAAGCUCCCGGCUUAACUGGGAGAGGCCAACGGAAACUGUCAGGCUAGAGUGUGGUAGAGGAAGAUGGAAUUCCCGGUGUAGCGGUGAAAUGCGUAGAUAUCGGGAGGAAUACCUACGGCGAAAGCAGUCUUCUGGACCAUCACUGACGCUGAUCUGCGAAAGCUAGGGGAGCAAACAGGGUUAGAUACCCUGGUAGUCCUAGCCCUAAACGAUGCUCAUUAGGUGUGGGAGGUAUCGACCCCUUCCGCGCCGUAGCUAACGCAUUAAAUGAGCCGCCUGGGGAGUACGGCCGCAAGGUUGAAACUCAAAGGAAUUGG
rnacentral:rRNA from 1 species